ACAUGGAGCUGCAGCAACCUCACCUCUAUUGAGCCACCAGAUUUGGCAGCUCCAAGAUUAGUAAUGUCUUUCUUUCUAUAGCACGUCCUGGCAAUAUGGCUGUGCAAGCUCACAUCCUCCAUACUCUGAGAAACUGGAAAUGCUUGAUGCUUCACAAUCUGUGGGGAUUCCAUUGCAAAUGAGAACUGCUAUGUGAGCUCUAAAAAAAAUAUCGGUGGAAAGGAUUUACAAUAAUUCAUUAAUGAUUAGAAAACAGUCGAUCUAAACUAACACAAUUAAAGAAGCUAUGGAGAUCACCCAUUAUUCCUUUGGAGCAUAUAUGGCAUAACACCGUUUCUACUGAUGAAAUUCAUAUGAGGAUGCUUCAAUGGAAAAGUGAAUUUGCACCAAGCCUGGAUAAGCCUGUGGCUGCCCUGGGGUGCAGUAUGGAGCGGGAGUUGUGUGCAGGCCAUGAUUGACUGUCCUUCAGAGACUAUGCUGUCUUGACAAGGUACUACACACCUGUGUCCAUGAAUGUGGAAAUGUUUAAAUAAAAAAUUCAAACCAGAA